AGCACAAUAGAUCCACACUUAACCAUACCAACCAUUUUUCUACUGUGUAAUAAAAAAGAAAAUCAAAAGGUAAAUAGGUAUUCCCAAACAGCCCCUCCCCUAACCCAAAAAAAAAUUUAAAAAGAAAAAAAUUUUAGAACAGCAAGCGUGCAAAGUUGAGAAAUUUAAAACAAAAAAAAUAUAUUUAAGGGAAAAAAAAAGACCAAAGCAUGAGGGGUACAUUCCAUUAAGCACAAAGCAACAAAGGCUUUCAGGUUUGUGCAGAGAACAUAUAAACACAAACUCAAUAAAUGAACUCCUUUUCUCUCCUAACAUUGUUACUAUUUCUACUAUUUAGUGCUAAAUAAACCAAAGUGCUAAAUAAACACAUAAACACUGUUACUAUUUAGUGCUAAAUAAAACUCUCAUCUGGAGAAAAUUAUUUGGAUUGGAUAGUUAAUCACUUUCAUCAGUACCAUGAACACCACAUAUUUAAGUUCCGGAAAUUAGAAAAUAUAAUAACAGCAUGAGCAAACACAUAAACCAAUAAUAACAUUCAUAGCCUAGCAUCUGAAAUAAAGUAAAAUCCUUCUAAGCACAGAGGACAGAGAUAGUGUUGGGCACAUGAACCUGUUAUGGAUGAAAGCAUGUCACCGCAGCUUAGACGCGUAUCACACAAGGAAACCAAGAGAUUGGUUCCCCACUCACUGAAAAUGAGUAUGGAAAAUAGAAAAGUUAAACAUUUACUGAACUAGAAAUACACUCAAGAAAUGUAGGCAAAAGG